CGGUACUCCAGGGAGAGGACCAGAUCUCCACACUUGGAGAUGGGAGUUCGAGGGGAAGAACAGCCUGGCUGAGACGAGACUUCGCCAAGAGGAGGUGGCUCUUCCUGGCAAAUGACUGUGAUCAGAAGCUCUGGAGCUUGCAGAGGUCAGAAGAGUGAAGAGCAGGCUUUCCACCUCAGAGUGAACCUGAGCGGCUUACCACUGUAGAGUGGUAAUCCUCUCACAACUGAGUGACGAUGAUACCUCUGCCAAGCAUGAUGGGAACAGCAGGGCCGCGGUGAGCUCAAUGACCCUGUUAAGUAAUCCCUGCACCACUUUAUUUAUUUAUUUACUUUUAACUUUCUGGUUACUGAUGUGAACAAAU